rnacentral:rRNA from 1 species
UACGUAGGGUGCAAGCGUUGUCCGGAAUUAUUGGGCGUAAAGAGCUCGUAGGCGGUUUGUCGCGUCUGCUGUGAAAACUCGGGGCUUAACCCCGGGCCUGCAGUGGGUACGGGCAGACUAGAGUGCGGUAGGGGAGACUGGAAUUCCUGGUGUAGCGGUGAAAUGCGCAGAUAUCAGGAGGAACACCGGUGGCGAAGGCGGGUCUCUGGGCCGUAACUGACGCUGAUGCGCGAAAGCCAGGGGAGCGAACGGG